AUUGAACGCUGGCGGCAGGCCUAACACAUGCAAGUCGAGCGGAUGAAGGGAGCUUGCUCCUGGAUUCAGCGGCGGACGGGUGAGUAAUGCCUAGGAAUCUGCCUGGCAGUGGGGGAUAACGUCCGGAAACGGGCGCUAAUACCGCAUCCGUCCUGAGGGAGAAAGUGGGGGAUCUUCGGACCUCACGCUAUCAGAUGAGCCUAGGUCGGAUUAGCUAGUUGGUGGGGUAAAGGCCUACCAAGGCGACGAUCCGUAACUGGUCUGAGAGGAUGAUCAGUCACACUGGAACUUAGGCACGGUCCAGACUCCUACGGGAGGCAGCAGUGGGGAAUAUUGGACGAUGGGCGAAAACCUGGUCCAGCCAUGCCGAGUGUGUGAAGAAGGUCUUCGGAUUGUAAAGCACUUUAAGUUGGGAGGAAGGGCAGUAAGUUGAGACCUUGCUGUUUUGACGUUACCGACAGAAUAAGCACCGGCUAACUUCGUG
rnacentral:rRNA from 1 species